UACGUAGGGUGCGAGCGUUAAUCGGAAUUACUGGGCGUAAAGUGUGCGCAGGCGGCCGAGCAAGUCGAGUGUGAAAGCCCCGGGCUUAACUUGGGAAUUGCGCUCGAAACUACUUGGCUGGAGUGUGGCAGAGGAAGGUGGAAUUCCAGGUGUAGCGGUGAAAUGCGCAGAUAUCAGGAGGAACACCAAUGGCGAAGGCAGCUCGCUGGGACGUGACUGACGCUGAGACGCGAAAGCGUGGGGAGCAAACAGG
rnacentral:rRNA from 1 species